rnacentral:rRNA from 1 species
GCAGUCGCCACGGGAAUACAGAGGGUGCGAGCGUUAAUCGGAUUUACUGGGCGUAAAGCGUGCGUAGGCGGCUUUUUAAGUCGGAUGUGAAAUCCCUGAGCUUAACUUAGGAAUUGCAUUCGAUACUGGGAAGCUAGAGUAUGGGAGAGGAUGGUAGAAUUCCAGGUGUAGCGGUGAAAUGCGUAGAGAUCUGGAGGAAUACCGAUGGCGAAGGCAGCCAUCUGGCCUAAUACUGACGCUGAGGUACGAAAGCAUGGGGAGCAAACAGGAUUAGAUACCCCGGUAGUCCCUGUCUCUUAUAC